ACAUGUCCAGAGGACACCUUCUUGUCAACUCUUUGUAUCUCUCCCAUGCUUCAUAGAGAGUUUCACCAUCUUGUUGUUUGAAUGUUUGAAUCUCAGCCCUCAAUCU